rnacentral:rRNA from 1 species
CCUACGGGGAGCUGCAGUGGGGAAUAUUGGACAAUGGGCGAAAGCCUGAUCCAGCCAUGCCGCGUGUGUGAAGAAGGCCUUCGGGUUGUAAAGCACUUUCAGUGGGGAAGAAAGCCUUGGGGCUAAUACCCUCGAGGAAGGACAUCACCCACAGAAGAAGCACCGGCUAACUCCGUGCCAGCAGCCGCGGUAAUACGGAGGGUGCGAGCGUUAAUCGGAAUUACUGGGCGUAAAGCGCGCGUAGGCGGUCUGAUAAGCCGGUUGUGAAAGCCCCGGGCUCAACCUGGGAACGGCAUCCGGAACUGUCAGGCUAGAGUGCAGGAGAGGAAGGUAGAAUUCCCGGUGUAGCGGUGAAAUGCGUAGAGAUCGGGAGGAAUACCAGUGGCAAGGCGGCCUUCUGGACUGACACUGACGCUGAGGUGCGAAAGCGUGGGUAGCAAACAGGAUUAGAUACCCGUGUAGUC